ACAGCAGCAGCCGCGGUAAAACAGAGGGUGCGAGCGUUAAUCGGAUUUACUGGGCGUAAAGCGUGCGUAGGCGGCUUCUUAAGUCGGAUGUGAAAUCCCUGAGCUUAACUUAGGAAUUGCAUUCGAUACUGGGAAGCUAGAGUAUGGGAGAGGAUGGUAGAAUUCCAGGUGUAGCGGUGAAAUGCGUAGAGAUCUGGAGGAAUACCGAUGGCGAAGGCAGCCAUCUGGCCUAUUACUGACGCUGAGGUACGAAAGCAUGGGGAGCAAACAGGAUUAGAGACCCGUGUAGUCCCUGUCUCUUAUAC
rnacentral:rRNA from 1 species